rnacentral:lncRNA from 1 species
AAGAGAUUCACAAAAACAAAGAAUCACAAUGUAGACAAAUUCAGUAACCACCAGGCACAAAUUCACCAGGAACAACCAAGCAAGGAAGGAAGGAGAAGAAGCUGAUGCAACAAGGUGUAGUAUGACUUCAUCCCUCGCCCAUCCCCAGAAGUAGCACUGAGUAAAACAAUGGAGAUGACAAAAAUAUUGGUAACAGUGGGCCCCAGUAUGGACAAAGGCACUGACGAGGUGACCAGGCCACGUGGAGGAGAGUCAAGGAAAACUCUUGGGACAACGAAGUCUUUGCUUCCAUCUCAGACCUCAGCAGAAGGGUAAGAUUCACCAGGACUAGGCAUUUCCCAGGUCUCAGAGCAGCCUGGGAAAGCCAAAUCCUGCAGAGUCAGAGACACCUUUGACUGUGUCUAGUGAGUUCUGGUUCUGGACAUUUAAUGGGAACCUAGAAGAGAGGGGAUACCAGGUCCCCA